AAAUAGUUAAAAACUAUUUUUCAGACUUUUAAAUAAUUUUUCAUAAUUUAUUUGGUAUUUUUUAUAAUUAAAAUCUAAUUUUUCUAAUUUUUAAAUCAUUUUUCGGAAAAUCAGAAAUUAAAAUAAUUAAAACUGUCGCUAAAGGCCCCUAUAGUGACAGAAGUGUCGCUAUAGGUGUUCUUGAGCCUACCCAGAUCUUUAUAAGGCAGAACCGAGUGGCCUACUUUGACCGUGAAUAACUCUCUCAUCNN
rnacentral:lncRNA from 1 species